AACGAACGCUGGCGGCAUGCCUAACACAUGCCAGUCGAACGAGACCUUCGGGUCUAGUGGCGCACGGGUGCGUAACGCGUGGGAACCUGCCCUUAGGUUCGGAAUAACUCCCCGAAAGGGGUGCUAAUACCGGAUAAUGUCUUCGGACCAAAGAUUUAUCGCCUUUGGAUGGGCCCGCGUUGGAUUAGCUAGUUGGUAGGGUAAAAGCCUACCAAGGCGACGAUCCAUAGCCGGUCUGAGAGGAUGAUCAGCCACACUGGGACUGAGACACGGCCCAGACUCCUACGGGAGGCAGCAGUGGGGAAUAUUGGACAAUGGGCGAAAGCCUGAUCCAGCAAUGCCGCGUGAGUGAUGAAGGCCUUAGGGUUGUAAAGCUCUUUUACCCGGGAUGAUAAUGACAGUACCGGGAGAAUAAGCUCCGGCUAACUCCGUG
rnacentral:rRNA from 1 species